ensembl:snRNA U6 U6 spliceosomal RNA
AAAACCUAUUGAAAUUUUUUUUUUAAAAAAAGAAACAAUACAGAGAAGAUUAGCAUGGCUCCUGUGCAAGGAUGACAUGCAAAUUUGUGAAAUGUUCCAUUAAAAU